UCGACAGUUAUAAAUUCUGAUUUGAAUGAAUAGGUAACAAUAUUUUUUCGGUUAAUUCGGUUAAGUCUUAUUAUUCUUGUUUAACAAAGGUUCGUGAGGUCAUUUUGCAGCACAUCACAGAGACAAAAGAUGUCAAUGGCACACUUUUAUGAACAUGUGAAUAGGCAUGUUAUAGUUGGGUGCUUAAAGUCCGUUAAAAACUGUAAACUGCUGAUACAUUUUCAACAUACUUGAGCUUUUCAGACUUUACUAUUUGCUUCACAAACGGCAGAAAUGGUUUAUUGUUAUUAGCUAUCAUCAUCAUCAAACAUUUUCCACAAUGGUAGGUUAACAGUGUUUAGUAACUUACAACUAUCUGAUCCAAAAGGUUUCUUAUUUUAAAGAAAUAUGACUGAUUGACUUAAUCUGCUUUCCUAUUGGUUUCUUAAACUGGUUUGUCCAUAGUGUCACAAAGUGAUUAAAACAUUUACUGUUAUUGGCUUUCAUCUGACUCAAAGUAAAUCAAAAGCAUCUGUAUUCAUCCAGUAAUGUCUAGGUUUUAAAUAGAAUUUUGGUCUUGUGCUAAUUGGGUAUACUAUAUUUCAGGCUUUUUCUGAAUAGUCAUUAUUAAUGUUUAUAUUGAUUUUAGUGAAGAUAAACAUUUGUAUAAAAUGUUGUAUGUUUGUUUGUUUGACAGUCCACAACAAGAUCCUUGAGCAAGAUCAAACACGCUUGGCACAGAAGAGAAACAUCCAAAAGCCACUGUGAUAUCUGACUGGCAUACAGAUGAGGACGAUGAUUGCCCGUCAUACAGCUAAAGAAACAAACAGGCACAACUAUACUGACAGUGAUGAAGAAAAAUUAUUUAAAAAAAGGAGGCUCGGGAAAAAAAAAAAAAAAAAAG